CCUACGGGUGGCAGCAGUGGGGAAUAUUGCACAAUGGGCGCAACCCUGACGCAGCAACGCCGCGUGAAGGAAGACGGUUUUCGGAUUGUAAACUUCUGUUCUUAGUGACGAAUAAUGACGCUAUCCAAGGUGCAAGCCACGGCUAACUACGUGCCAGCAGCCCCGGUAAUACGGAGGUGGCAAGUGUUGUCCGGAAUGAAUGGGGGUAAAGGGAGCGCAGGCGGGAAGGUAAGUCAGCUGUGAAAACUACGGGCUUAACUUGUAGACUGCAGUUGAAACUGGUUGUCUUGAGUGAAGGAGAGGUAGGCGGAAUUCCGAGUGUAGCGGUGAAAUGCGUAGAUAUUCGGAGGAACACCGGUGGCGAAGGCGGCCUACUGGGCUUUAACUGACGCUGAGGCUCGAAAGUGUGGGGAGCAAACAGGAUUAGAUACCCUUGUAGUC
rnacentral:rRNA from 1 species